UUCAUAGUGCGUGGCUACGUCCCCAGCACCUAAUGUAGGCCUGGUGCUGUAUAGAGAAUAGAGUACUUGGAAAGAGAGAAGGAAUGAGGAAAGUAGAUGGGUGGGUGUAAAACAGAAAAAAAGGAGAGCUAGAAUUGCAACCCCAUAGAGUUCUAAAAGCAUUGUACAGACAAUGCACAGCUUAACCAUAUUAUGGAAUGUUGUUAUGCCUUCUCCCCGCUCCAGUACAUACACACAUUCAUUUGUUCUUUCAUGGAGCAGGGACCAACCUCAUUAUAAAAGCCUCUCCUCUGAUCUAAUUUUGAAAGUUUCUACAGUGGACUAAAAGGCCAUUCAAUUCAUGGCCCUGCAAGUAACUUACUUGGGGCAGUUGUGAAAUCCUUUGUAUCUCACAUGAUGUUUCACUGACAGUGAAAAGAUCUCAUUUGUCUGCAGCUGCUAGUCAGGAAUAGCAAGGUUGGAAAGGGAGGUGAGUGGACGCCUAGGGGCACAGUUCGGCUUCUCAGAUUAACACCCGCCAUCCCUCCACCAGCCCUGGAUAUGUGAGUUGCUUGCUAGAAAUUGAUCUGAAAACCAGAUGGCGUCCAUCUCAGGGACAAGAUAUCAUGGUUCUUAAGAAUUCAAGUACAAGGAUCUUCGAAGUGAGCCACACUGUCAUCACCGUCACCAAGGGGAAAGGAAUCAAAUGAUUCAAGAGGAAGGGACUGUUGCUUCAUUCACCGUCCAACAGAAGCAUAUAUUACAUUCUUAUACAGAACGGAACACUGCUAAGGAUUUCGACCAAAUGCAACUCAUGCCACCAACAGUAUUUUUAUGAUCUACCUACUAUGGGGCUGAAAAAUGAAGAUGGAAAUAAGCAAAUCUAUAGAAAAGUAAUAAAAUUAAAAAAUAAGAGGUAUGUCUAUGCUCUACAGUAGAUAUGAAUUUGAAAACUGUCCCUUGACUUUGAAAACUGCCCCUAAGAGGUGACUGCUAAUAAAUUAAUCUAGCCCUGAAUCUGACUUGUCACAAAAGGGUCAGCUUUAAGAAACCAUAGGCUCACUCAGCUGGCAAAAGUGCACGUUUGGAUGUGGGUGUAUUUUUAGUGAUCCAGUCCGAGUGCUUUGACUCCCAGCAGGUCUUUUGCAGAUAUUGUGGAGAAAGCCACCCGGGUGACUCUGAGAAGACAGUGUGAGUCAGAACCAUUGUUAAUGAUGCUGUUAUCUGGGAGAGGAUAUGGACUUGUUUGGGGUUCAUUUUCAUGGUCCAACACCAUGGUCCUGGAAAACCUGUGGACACAAGCUUUUUCCCUAGAACCUUGGCCUCUAAGGAGGAACAGCAAGAAUCCUGAACAAGUUCUGAAUUCUCUGCAGCUGCCUCUGUAGCCUGCACAUGAGACAGAGGAGGCUGGAUCCACCACUGGGCCACCACGAAGUUCUCCUAGAACAACAGUUGUGUAGUAAUCUAAGUCUGCAGUAUUAUCUACCUAUACCUAUGGACCAAAUUCAUCCAAAGCGCAAACUGCAGACUAGACAGCAGCUGCGGAAGACCCCAGGCACAGGCACGGCCACCCACGACAUUCACACCUGUCCAUUUAGGAGGAGCAAAGGCAAUUCAGGUGGUGGAAGCUCAUGUGCAUCAAUGGAACACCUUUUAUAGAAACACCACCCAAAAUGUGUCCCAGAGGUCACCGGUUUCAAGAGAUGUCCUCCAAAAGAAGGGUUCCAAAGUCCAGGGAGUAAAGGGCAAAGGCUACACGUGUCUACUUUCUGGAGACUCACAGUGAGCAGCGGUCCCAACCUGGCUGCAUGGCAGGACCCCGGGGACGUUCCCCUGAGCCUUCCUAAACGCACGCUCCUAAGCCCACUCCUGGAGGUGCUGACUCAGGAUGACUGGCUAACGCAAAACGGUCUGUUUCUAAAUGCAUCACAGGUGAUCUGAUGUAACUAGUUUGCUACCCACUGCUCAUCAUAAAUGCUCUGAGAAGUCCUUCAGGAAAGGAACCUGUUUACUGUGAUUAUCUUAGAGCCCUCCAAAUUGGCUUGAUCACAGAAACUUUAAGGCAUCCACAGAUGUACUUUGGGUGAUGCGACCCAAGACAGUGAGAACUUUCACCACGGGCCUAUCCAGUCCCAGCCACAGCCUACCCUGUGCUCCAGUUCCUAGAGAUAUGUUUCAAACUAUGAAUCGCAACCCAAUCAUGGGUCUUAACCACUAUGUUAAAAGCAAAAACUUAAGAGAAAAGGAUAGAAAAUACCAGAGUGUGGUGCAAAUAAGAGUAGGUAUUACUACGUGAAAUGUGUGUGCUGGAUCAUAAGCAGAAACAGUUUCUAUACUGAAGGUUGUGGCCCAAACUGGGAAAGCCCUAGUCCCAGAGGAAGUCCAAGGAGCGACUUUGCCAGUGGCAAGACUGGUCUUGACAUCCGGGCAGGGCAGGAAAACGGGCUCAGCAAUGCUAUUUCUUACAUCAUUGUGUCCUAGGAUGAGAACCAGCUUUUAACUCUGACACUGGAAAUGAUGGUAUGUAACAUAUUAAGAAGCCAUAAAACCUUACCCCAAGGAGUCAUAAUUACAAUAAGCUACUUGCAAAUAACUUAGAGCCACCCCAGCACCCACAGCACCUUGUCCCCAGGCACUCCUGCCGACUGGCUUGUGAACCAGAGGUACCAGAAACCCUGUGUUUCCAGUCAUGGAACACCAGUCCAGAAGGAAAUGGUUCUACAUUAUCUGCUCACAGACACCUAAUGUGAUAUCUUUUGCAAUUUUUAGCUCUUCAGACUUCAUUUUUAGUUAUAGUUCAUAACACUUUUUUCUAAGUGAGAAAUUUGCAAUUGUUUCACAAGGUUUUAGGGUGGUUUGAAACUGAGGAUUUUAUCUUCUAAUUUCCUCUGAACAGCCCUUGCAAGAGGCAGGUUUUUU